CAGGAGGGGAAGGCUGGACAGGAAAAACCAUUCCCUUUUAUAAAAAGCAUGCAGGUUUUACAGCAAGUACCCUUCGCAUAGCAACCACCACUUAGCAGCCUCCACCUAGCUGAAAACAAUGGGCCUCAGUUCCUUGGACCACCUGCAUUCCAAGGCACACGCCAGGAUCCAGGUGUCCUUCACAGGUAUGGCAUAAACAUCAGGGUUGGCCAUUACUGGAACACUAAACAAACAUUCAUCAAGGAACACAGGAUCAUUCUCAAGCGUUCUAGAACACAACUACUAACUAGCUCGGCCUGGUACCACGGAUUUGUGCUACGGCACCAGGAGAGCAAAAUCAACACAGAAAAAAGCAAGAAAACUCAGAGAAAAAAUAAAACAAAUCUACAAUGAACACAUCAGUAUGUAUAUUUCUACAAACUUGUGUGAGAAGUUCUGUAAGAUCAAGUCCUAAAAGCAGAAUUGCUGGCUCAAAGGAUAUGAGUAACAUCAGCUGACUCGAAGUUAAGAAGAUUGGCCUCCACAAUCAGGGUGGGCCUCAUCCAAUCAGUAAAAGGCCCUAAGUGCAAAACUAAGGCUUCCCUGAAGAAGAAAUGUCCACCUAACAGACAGCCUCCCUGUGGAUUUCAGACUUGCCUAGCCAGCCCCAGCAAUUAUGUAAACCAGUUCCUUGCAAAAAAAAUCUCUUUAUAUGUAUAUAAACCUGUUGAAAAUUUUAUAUAGCAUAUAUAUAUAUGUAUAAUACAUACAUGUGUAUACAUGCAUACAUAUGUGUCUGUAUAUUUAUACACAUACAUAAUCUCCAUCUGGUUCUCUUUCUCGGGUAAAACACUAAUUGAUACACCUAUAGGGAUAGGUGAAUAGUAAGAAGUAUAAUUAAUAAUCUUUUGUUAGGUCUCAGUAAAACCUUUUUACUUUGCUUCUCAGAAAAUGAGAAUGCAAAGGGCCCUAAUGACUUGUUAAAAAACCUAAAUCUCUUCCAUGUCUGCUGGUUUCAAAUUAUCUGCUUCUAGCAAAACUGAAAGAAGACCUAAUUGAAUUGUCAGCUGCUAAAUCAUUAAAAAUCCUUUAUUGUCAAUGACUGCUAUAUGCUUUUUCAAACACAGUUGAGAAGAACAAAGAACUGACACCUUUAUAAGCUCUAAGGGCAGAGAUUUCGGUAGCUUUGUUCACCACUCAUCACCAGUACUUAGUAGAAUGUCCAGUACACAGCAGGAGCUCAAAAUACAUUUGGUAAAUGAAUACAUAGUAAAACUCCACCAUUCUGAUCUACUUACUUACAUGUAAAAAUUUUGUUAGAAUCUACAUGUAUAUAAAUCAAACAUGAGGAACAGAAUGAAAGCUAAACCUGUCUCAUUCUAGCAAUGAGGUAUAUUAUUUCAAGGAUUCAUUAAGCUAAUUGGAGUGAGAGGAAGCCCCACUAAGCUUAAGAUUUCCUAUGAAAAUGUCACACUUUUAGUUUUACUAAUUAUCAAAAAUUUUACAAUGUAUACUAUUAUUAUAAAAAUCCAAGGAAAAAUGUUAAGACUCUGAGCCUUAUGAACUCAGAAAAUGUAAAUAGUUUUACAUUUUAAUUUACAUAGGCAUUUCUGUUGCAGUGAUUCAUAAGAUAAUUAAUAUAAUUUGCAAGCAUAAAAAACAUUAGGUUAGUACACCAGGGACACCUGGAACCCCAGCACCUUAGGAGGCCAAGGUGGGCAGAUCACUUGAGGCCAGGAGUUCAAGACCAAUCUGGC
rnacentral:lncRNA from 1 species